rnacentral:rRNA from 1 species
UAUGUGAUCGUCUCUCGCAUAUCAAUAAGCGGAGGAAAAGAAACUAACAAGGAUUCCCUUAGUAACGGCGAGUGAAGCGGGAAGAGCUCAAAUUUGAAAUCUUCAAGGUUUUACCUUGACGAAUUGUAGUUUAAAGAAGUGUUUUCUGUCUGAAGUUUUGGUAAAAGUUCUUUGGAAUAGGACAUCAUAGAGGGUGAGAAUCCCGUAUUUGACCAUUAUUUUCAGCUGUGUGAUACACUUUCAAAGAGUCGGAUUGUUUGGGAAUGCAGUCCAAAAUGGGUGGUAAAUUUCAUCUAAAGCUAAAUAUUGGCAAGAGACCGAUAGCGAACAAGUACCGUGAGGGAAAGAUGAAAAGAACUUUGAAAAGAGAGUUAAACAGUACGUGAAAUUGUCAAAAGGGAAGCGUUUGACACCAGUGUUGUUUUCUCGAAAAUCAAUUAAAAAGAGUUAGAUUUUGUUGUGUAUUGACCUUAAGCAGCUUGCAUUUCAAUUUUCUUGCUUUUUUUAAUGCACUUUUCGUUUAACAAGUCAACAUCAGUUUCUUUUGUUGUAAAAAGGUCAUUGGAAGGUGGCUUUCUUUUCGGAGAAAGUGUUUAUAGCCUUUGACUCCUGCAAUCGGAGAGACUGAGGUCUGCAGCGUAGAUCCUUCGGGGUUAGAUACAUUUGUGCUAAGUUAUAGCCUUUUAUAGACAACUUGUUGACUAUGAUUAGUCUUGUAGCUUACUCGCUUAUGCUAUUUUACCUACGCUUAGGAUGUUGAAGAUGUAGCACAUCAU